rnacentral:rRNA from 1 species
AUUGAACGCUGGCGGCAGGCCUAACACAUGCAAGUCGAACGAGUGGCGGACGGGUGAGUAAUGUCUGGGAAACUGCCCGAUGGAGGGGGAUAACUACUGGAAACGGUAGCUAAUACCGCAUACCAUCGGAUGUGCCCAGAUGGGAUUAGCUAGUAGGUGGGGUAACGGCUCACCUAGGCGACGAUCCCUAGCUGGUCUGAGAGGAUGACAGGCAACACGGAAACGAGGACACGUUCAGGACUCCACGGGGAGGCAGCAGUGGGGAUAAUUGAACAAUGGGGGCAGGCCUGAUGAGGCAAGGCGGGGUGUAUGAAGAAGGCUUUGGGUUUGUAAAGUACUUUCACCGAGAGGACGUUACUCGCAGAAGAAGCACCGGCUAACUCCGUGCCAGCAGCCGCGGUAAUAC